rnacentral:rRNA from 1 species
UACGGGGGAUCCAAGCGUUAUUCGGAUUUAUUGGGCUUAAAGGGUGCGUAGGCGGCCUGUUAAGUCAGGGGUGAAAGACGGUAGCUCAACUAUCGCAGUGCCCUUGAUACUGAUGGGCUUGAAUGUACUAGAGGUAGGCGGAAUGUGACAAGUAGCGGUGAAAUGCAUAGAUAUGUCGCAGAACACCAAUUGCGAAGGCAGCUUACUAUGGUAUGAUUGACGCUGAGGCACGAAAGCGUGGGGAUCAAACAGG